GAACCUUUCUGCACCGAGACCAGGAGAACCUGCAGAUGUGCUCAGAGGCCCAGGGAGCAAAGGGCUGAGACCCAGGCGAUCAGAUAACUAGACAGUUGGUCCCCUACAGGCGCUGACUAUGCAGGCGGCCCCACCCACAUCCUCCCAUACCUUCAAGCUUGUUUCUACAAUUGAGGGUUACGCAACAAUGCGUUUUCAAGAGAUUGUCGGGAGAACUAAAUGAGGCAAGGAAUGUGGAACCACUUUGUAAACAAAAAAGCAAUAGAUACCAGCUGGGACAUUCAGGCAAAGAGUUUCUGUUGCUCUCCAGCCAGCUCAGCUCCUGCAAGCAAGGCCAGAAAUCCUGUCUGGAUCCUGCCUGCAGCUCAGGAUCGUAAGACUGAAGGUUCCUGAGAUGACACAACCUGCUGAGUUGCAAUGGAAGCUUCACGAUGAGCUUGUCUUCUGGAAAGACGCCUCCCCAGGACCAGUGUGUGGGGUGUGUCUUCAGGCACCUGGCUGGGCUUACAGGUUGAUGGAGGCCCCUUCGCAGAGCUGGAAAUGGUUUAUGACUUUCUUUUCUUUCCUGUGCUGAUAUGUCUGUGCACCGCAGUGGCCUGACAACCAGUGGCUUCUGGAACUGCAACAAAAUAGCUCCUGCAGGUGAAUUUCUGAUUCUACUCAUGCCCAGGUCUGAGAGGGCAGAGAGAAACUGCAGGUGUUUGCCAAGGACGUGGUGGGGCUGGCUGAAAUCGUUGGAUAAUUCACACUUUCGCUUGAGCACAGAUGGCUGGGCCCCUAGGAAACCUGGGCAUUGUUUCCUGGUUAAUCUGAAUUCAGAAAACUCCCCUGUGUGCCCUGCUCUGUCUUUGCUCUUAUUAUGGAUAUUAUGCCUAAUUAAGGUGGGCAUUUAUCAAGCAGUUUCUUGGAGCCAGGUGCUAUGCUUGGCACUUUAUAUCCAUCUCAGAUCUUGACAACAGCAGCCGAGGUAGCUGGCAUUAAUUCCAGUUAUAGCCAAGGAAAUAGAGACUAGGCAGAUGGAGCUGAGUUACCUCCAUCAAAGACUGUUUAAG
ensembl:lncRNA